GACGAACGCUGGCGGCGUGCCUAAUACAUGCAAGUCGAGCGAAGUUUUUCUGGUGCUUGCACUAGAAAAACUUAGCGGCGAACGGGUGAGUAACACGUAAAGAACCUGCCUCAUAGACUGGGACAACUAUUGGAAACGAUAGCUAAUACCGGAUAACAGUAUUUCUCGCAUGAGAGAUAUUUAAAAGUUGGUUAUGCUAACACUAUGAGAUGGCUUUGCGGUGCAUUAGCUAGUUGGUGGGGUAAAGGCCCACCAAGGCGACGAUGCAUAGCCGACCUGAGAGGGUGAUCGGCCACACUGGGACUGAGACACGGCCCAGACUCCUACGGGAGGCAGCAGUAGGGAAUCCUCCGCAAUGGGCGAAAGCCUGACGGAGCAACGCCGCGUGAGUGAAGAAGGAUUUCGGUUCGUAAAGCUCUGUUGUUAGGGAAGAAUGGAUAUGCAGUAACUAUACAUGUAAGAGACGGUACCUAACCAGAAAGCCACGGCUAACUACGUG
rnacentral:rRNA from 1 species